UUUUUUUUGGUAUUUU
rnacentral:sRNA from 1 species